rnacentral:rRNA from 1 species
GGGAGGCAGCAGUGGGGAAUCUUGCACAAUGGGCGAAAGCCUGAUGCAGCAACGCCGCGUGGGGGAUGAAGCUUCUCGGAGUGUAAACCCCUUUCGACCCGGACGAAUGCCCGCAAGGGUUUGACGGUACGGGUAUAAGAAGCCCCGGCUAACUACGUGCCAGCAGCCGCGGUAAGACGUAGGGGGCCAGCGUUGCUCGGAAUUACUGGGCGUAAAGGGUCCGUAGGCGGUGCGGUAAGUCGGGAGUGAAAUCUCUGGGCUUAACUCAGAGGCUGCUUCCGAAACUACCGUGCUAGAGUGCGAGAGAGGCAAGUGGAAUUGCGGGUGUAGCGGUGAAAUGCGUAGAUAUCCGCAGGAACAUCCGAGGCGAAAGCGGCUUGCUGGAUCGCAACUGACGCUGAGGGACGAAAGCUAGGGGAGCAAACAGGAUUAGAUACCCCGGUAGG